CCAGGUUCAGAUACGACAGGACACCAUACUGGAACUGGACUAAGCCUCCAAGACCAGCAGAUGUAAGCUCGAGGACAGACUAGGACUGCAGGGAAGACAAGACAUGGCAGUUACCAGGGUGACAGAUGACAAGUCCUGCCUGACCUAAUAUGUGAUUGGUCGCCUGAGAAAGAGCGACAGUGACGACCCCGGCACUUCUUUCUGACAAGUUGAUGGAUUUUCCAGGAGAAGUGUUUGGAGCAGCUGUGCAAAAAAACCAGGUGCAUGAUGAUACAUAUACAUGUCAACACUACACUUGCUUACUAUGUAUGUGUUCUACGUACCUGUUUGAAUUGAACUGUUAUUCUACACCAUAUUCAAAUGUCACUACUGGUUUAAUUGUUCUUUUUUCCAGGCUGGAAACUGCACGCUGUGUUUUGUUUUGUUGUGUGCUCUCGUUUGUUUCGGCUCGUUUGUUCUUUUUGUUUUAACACCUUUUUAUUUUUACCUUGGCCGGGCAGCUUCAUCAGCGCAGAUGAAAAAUAGACUUCGGGCUAAGUCUGGUGUUUUCGCUCGCCCCGCCGUGUGUUUUAUUAAUUUGCCGUGUCCCUUCUUCGACAAACCAAACGCAAAACUAAACCCUCGACCUCUUGACGUGAAAAUCGGUCCAUGCGCAUGUCAUGCGAACGUGACAUGACAGACGAGAACAUAUCUGUUGCUUUUUAUCGGCUCUCCAAAUUUGCUAUUGGAGGUGUGUGUUGGUUUGCUCCAACCACCACACGCUGACAUAUAGAAUGUAAAUAUCCUUGUUUUCUUGGAUUCCAAUAAUAUUAUUUUGCACCAGUUGAUAAGAAUGAAUGUAACAAUGAUCCCAUAACAAUAAACUUUGACGUAAAUUACCAGA